rnacentral:rRNA from 1 species
ACGAACGCUGGCGGCGUGCUUCACACAUGCCAGUCGAACGGAAAGGCCCUGCUUUUGUGGGGUGCUCGAGUGGCGAACGGGUGAGUAACACGUGAGUAACCUGCCCUUGACUUUGGGAUAACUUCAGGAAACUGGGGCUAAUACCGGAUAGGAGCUCCUGCUGCAUGGUGGGGGUUGGAAAGUUUCGGCGGUUGGGGAUGGACUCGCGGCUUAUCAGCUUGUUGGUGGGGUAGUGGCUUACCAAGGCUUUGACGGGUAGCCGGCCUGAGAGGGUGACCGGCCACAUUGGGACUGAGAUACGGCCCAGACUCCUACGGGAGGCAGCAGUGGGGAAUAUUGCACAAUGGGCGGAAGCCUGAUGCGGCAACGCCGCGUGCGGGAUGACGGCCUUCGGGUUGUAAACCGCUUUCGCCUGUGACGAAGCGUGAGUGACGGUAAUGGGUAAAGAAGCACCGGCUAACUACGUG